rnacentral:tRNA from 1 species
GCAGUCAUAGUUAAACGGCAGAAUCCCUGCUUCCCAAGCAGGAGAUCGGGGUUCAAUUCCCCGUGGCUGCA